GUGUGUGCAUGAAAAGAGAGAAGGUUACCACGUCCCACCCCUUGAUAAGGAUGGAAGGGGUCCUUGAAUCCUUACAACACACAAAUGGUUAAGGCAUUGCCAUCUAUUUGGUGACAUUGAACCUUGCUUUUAA